GGAACGAACGCUGGCGGCGUGCCUAACACAUGCAAGUCGAGCGCGAAAACCUUCGGGUGAGUAGAGCGGCGCACGGGUGAGUAACACGUGGAUAAUCUGCCCUAAGGCCUGGAAUAACCAAGGGUAAACUUUGGCUAAUACCGGAUAAGACCACGGCACGAAGGUGUUGUGGGAAAAGCGGGGGAACUCUUCGGAGACCUCGCACCAUAGGAUGAGUCCGCGGCCCAUCAGCUAGUUGGCGGGUAAAGCCCACGAAGGCUAAGACGGGUAGACUGGUCUGAGAGGAUGGCCAGCCACACUGGAACUGAGACACGGUCCAGACUCCUA
rnacentral:rRNA from 1 species